ensembl:ncRNA C10G11.12 ncRNA
ACACGCAAACAUCCAUCCAGCGCGGACACCCGCCCCACAAGUCAGUAGACUCCGCCCAAAUUUUCCGUCCGCUAUGAGAGACGGGAGAGGGACACAUUUGCCGCUGCUGCUGCCGCAAUGGAAAGGGACGUUUCGGUGGCUG